rnacentral:lncRNA from 1 species
GUAGACAUAAACAAAUCUUAUUUGUGUUUAUCAUUUCAACAGAUGUACCUGUGUUAACUUUGAAGGUAUCUUCCUCAUUUAAUAACUAGUGCAAACAAUACCAGACAGUGCUGAAUAUCUGAUGUGUUGCCUAACACCAAAUAUUGUCUGUUGGUAUUAUCAACAAUCGCGGUGUCCUUCAGCAGCACUCAUUAUAACUUAUUUUUCAAAAUAUUUUGUAAAGUUUCAAGGCUAAUGUGAUCUGAAUAUGUCCCCUUCUUUUUAUCAUACUUAUAAUAUAGUCGUUAAAGACAACAGUAAGAAAGCUACUUAAGUGACCCUGCCUGAAAAGAAACCACAUAACUGUAAUAGAUGUUCUUUGUUGACCAAGCUUCGUCUUGAAGGCCGUACUUUGAUCUAUAUGAUAAAUCCCAUUUCUUUUUAAUAUGUAAAAUAAACGAUGAUUUAAAGACGCAAUACACAAGUUUUUCUGAAAAUGAAAUAUAUACUUAAUCUAACCACUAGUCAACAAAUGACAUCUUUAG